AGAAUAUGAAGCGAUAAAUUGCACUUAGUUUCGACCUAAGUUUAGGUGAAUUACUUACCCUUAUUCUU
rnacentral:tRNA from 1 species